rnacentral:rRNA from 1 species
GACGGAGGAUGCAAGUGUUAUCCGGAAUCACUGGGCGUAAAGCGUCUGUAGGUGGUCAAAUAAGUCAACUGUUAAAUCUUGAGGCUCAACCUCAAAAUCGCAGUCGAAACUAUUAGACUAGAGUAUAGUAGGGGUAAAGGGAAUUCCUGGUGUAGCGGUGAAAUGCGUAGAGAUCAGGAAGAACAUCGGUGGCGAAGGCGCUCUGCUGGACCAUAACUGACACUCAGGGACGAAAGCUAGGGGAGCGAAUGGG